GGGAGACGCAUCCGUGGUAGAGGCCCAUAUAGCUCCCUCGCCGCCGACUCGAGUUUCUUGAGGUCCUCGGACUGGGGGGAGGCCGCCUGGGACUCGGAGAUCCGCUGGGUGGACGCGGAGGACGAGCCAGCGGAGCUACCCGGCCCCAACUUCCUUCACACACACAACCCAUUUGGAACUAGGUAGGAGAGAAGGGUAGGAGCACCCUAGUCACUGGCUGGAGUGGGCAGACUCCUGUGGCUGUGUGACCUAACCGUGUUCGGUCCGCUCUGUUAGGCGACUAAAAAUGAGUGAUGCAAACAGGAAGCCCUGCGUCCGCGGGCAACAGGCACUUGCCUGAGCACCUACUGUGGGUGAGGCAGACAUUCAUACGUACCUGCUGCUGGGUGCAAUUACAGACUGGAUGACAUGCUUACUCUACCCCUCCAAGGGCUCCAGAUUCAGCCGAGGAGAUUCUACGUAAGGAACUAAGGCAAGGCAGGAAUGUGUAUGAAAAUAGGAAUGUGUAUGUAAAUAGGAGCUCAGAGAAGAGAGAUUCCUUUUCGCUGAAGGAGAAUUGGGAAAGGUUUCAUGAAGGAGGUGGCAUUCAAGUUGGGUCUUAAAGAUUUCAUCCAGCAAAUUGGAGGGGCAGGUCAUUUUCAUCAAAGGACACAAAGGGGUGAAUGCAAAAAAGGACCUUCAUAUGUGGCUGUAGUAAUAAAAAAGGAGGGGUGGGGAGAUGGAACAAACAGUUUAAGACUUUUAGUUGAGUAAAAUUCUUGGACGUGCGCAGCAGAAUGUGCAGGCAGCACGGUCACAAGGCCCACAGACCCAGAACUAUAGUGUAAGAUGUUUGGCACCCUGGCAGAAAGAUGGGUUCUGACGAUGCACUGAGAGAGAAGUGCCUAUAGGCAGCAAGGGGAGGCCCAGAGGCUGUUGUAAUACUGCGUUUGGAGACUGCAGAAGUGCCUCUUGUGGAAGGAAUAGCUGGGGAAAGAGAAGGCUUCUUUUCUCUAUCAAAGCCACCCAAUCCGAAA
rnacentral:lncRNA from 1 species